rnacentral:hammerhead_ribozyme from 1 species
ACAUUGCUGAAGAGUCCCACACUAGGACGACACGGCCGUCCAGUGC